GCCCUUUACAAUAUAACGAUUUUAGCCAAGUCAUUCUGAGAUUAAAUUCGUACCGCUAAAUGGUGGCUUUUAGAUUGACCUACGCGCUGUAUACAAUCGUUUUUUAAAAUCCUAUUUACAAAUUAUUUACAGUAACUUCUAUUUACAAUGUAUUUCGUGAACUUGCCCGUUACGCUUGAGCUAACUCGACUCGACUGGCUUUACCUUCCGCAAACACUCUGCUUAUAGACUCCUUUGCAAGCAACCUGACUGGGACACUGUUAAUUGUUUUUAACCUCUUCGGCAGUCGCCAACGGCGUCGAUUCGUGUGAAUGUCUCUUUGGUUUUACCCUUUUUAAAAUUUGUUCUUUUAGAAGAUCGCCUACUUUUUUAUGCAGACCCUUUUUUAUGAAGUGUGGAAUUUCCACAAAGGCACAAAAGAAAUAUAUUUCAACUGUUGUUAAAUACAUGAUAUAUACAGCAAGUGUUGCUAGAUCCUUUAACCUGUAAAUGUUGUUCGAAAAGCAAGAAACGUAGACUGUUUAAAAACUUGCUUUGUUCCAUGUGAUAAUCAAGAGCAAUUAGUGUUCGAUUUGAUAGAACAGCAAGCGAGAUAAUACCGAUUUGCUGAACUGUUUGUACGAUAAUAAUGUAAUGGGUCCAUUUGUCGAAAGUGUUAGUGCACUUAUAACUGAGGGUCUGGUCUAACCUAACCUUUACGCGACGAAAAAGAAACAAUGGUUUUAGGAAAUUAUUUUUAUUAGAAAAAAAAAAAAAAGAAUCAGGGUGACGGGGAAAGAAAUGAUAAUGUUAAUCUAUGUAAUGAAUUUUGCUUGACGUUUACGAUAAAAUUCGGGAAAGCUUUAGUCUCCCUAAAGGCUAACGGAAAAGGGUCGCUGAAGACUGCCUUGACAGGUUUAAUUCUGACAAAAUGCCAAGUAAAGGGCAUCAUAAGUGUUGAUGGGAUCGUCGGAUCAUGACAUUUGACAUCAAAACCAUUCAAUUGGCUUUAUAGCGGGACUUUGCAAACCAACGGAAAAUGAAAUAUUCUCGUAAAAAUCCCCGAAUUGUGCGAUUUAUGUUAUUUAUGUUCUCUUGCCAUUACGGCGUCAUUGUAAGCUUAUAUAUGUUAAGGGCAAUAAUUGACUUUCUUGCGUACUUUUUGAGCAAGAAUCUUAAUUAAUAUUAUUAAGCAAACAGCUUAUACUCCAUCGGUAUGUCGUUUCAAUGGUUUCAAAACUCAAAUGACCACAUUAUAGAAGAUAUUUGAACCCAAGUUGGAGCUUUCAAACAAAAAUUGAGGAUGAUGUCGUUAAAGGGAGGAUAGCACUGUGAACUUACUUUUUUUGCAAGCUAUUACGGCGAUAUUACCAUUUAAAAUAUGAAAAGAAAAAUCGGGUGGAUUUUCUAAACCAAUUGAAUUUCAAAGCAAACCAAGCGCUAUCUUCUCUUAUUCAUUCGCCUGAAUCGAAACAUAUGCGCAUAUGUAAUCAUGUGCAAUCGCUUAAUCGGCCUACCGUGCCAGGAGUCGAACCAGGGCUUCCAACGUAAUAGCUACGCAUCUUAGCCCUCAAACCCAUACCAUAGCCAUUUAUGUGGGUGGAGUUUUACGAUGUUAAAGUGAAAGAAAAAGAAAUAAGUUUCACGUUGUGAUAUGUCUAAUAAGUAAAGCUGAUCCGCAUUGCAGUGUAAUUUGUUUUAAUAAAACUUACAACCUAUGAGAAAAGUUAAGUAUAAUUUUUAUACCUAAAAGUUAACCAAGCCUACUCAAUAUUAUAGGACAUAAACAUUUAAUUAUGAAAAUGUAGUUCUUUUCCUUUUCCAUAUCCAUUACUGAAGGAUGGAGUUUGUUUUCUUUUUUCAUAAUGCAUGCGACACUCAAAGGGAAGCUUCAGGGAGCCUAUAGAGCCUAUGUAUAUCCUUGAUCAGCGUCAAAUUUUGAAUUGACUAAGCCAUGUCUGUCCGCCUGUGCGGUGUUUGUUGUUGGCAUUUUCAUGGUCUCAAACAUGUAGAUAUCGACUUCAAAUUUGGUAGAAAGAUUGGAUGCUUUUGCGCGCAGGUUAGCAUUGAAAAUGAGCCAAAUUGGUUAGAUCAGAAGCCCGCAGUGGAGCAUAAAGUAAACGCAAAUUGUUUUUUUUUUCACAAAAAUUUGCGGACUUUUUUCUCUUUCGAAAUUAUAAAAGACGAAACACAUAAUUGUCUGUUUACCUGAAAAAAUGGGAAAAAUCGGUCACGGCCACACAAAGUUACAAGUGAUUAAAAUGUUUUUUUUUUUUUUCACUUUUUUGAGGCUUUGUGCUUAUUUAUCAUAAGGCAAACAAGACAGAAUGUUUAAAAUUAUUUUGUGCACUCCUCAAAGGAAGAUGUAUUGUCUGCCUAAUAGUUGGUUAAUUCUAAAAUGAAUAAGGUAGACACCGUGACCUAGUGGGUUAAUUUAAAAGUGUUAGUUCCAAAUAAAAUAUCUCGGACGUCACAACGUAGUGAACCAAUUUUUUCGUUACGAUAUCGUUGAUAAAGGUAUCAUAUGAAACAACUUGGAGAGCAGGAGGCGAGAAGCUACAUGUAUUAAUUCGAAUUUAUUAAUUGUGGUAGACGUCAUUAGUGGAUAAAUGGUUUAUUAAAAAUACGGUCGAUAUGGGUAUCAAACGAAAGGAGUUGGAGAGUAGAAUGGGAGAAGUUCCGUUAGUUAUGAAUUAAUUAUGGUGGACGUUUAAUACAUAAAGUCUUGGGACGUUUAGACAAAGCCAAUUUCUAAGACAUUAAAAUCUUAAAUGGACCAAGCGUUUAUGUGGUGGGCACGCGAGCCUCGGCCCCCGCCGAAUAUUCUUUCCGACUUUUUUAGCCUUUUUAAGUACAACGAAGAUUCGAAUGCAAAUUUUUUAUUUGUUGCGCGUACAAAGGAAUCCGUACAUACAUUCAUAUUACGUAAUCUGAAAGUAAUAAGCAAUGCAAUCAGAUUUUGAAACUGCAUUCUUAAAACUGUUUGGAAUUUUCUUGCAUAUGAAAAUCUCCGGUACAAAUUUUCGUUCACUAAUCGCAGAGCGUUUAAAAUAUGUUAUUGCGUUAUAAUAAGAGAACAUGUCUACAACGUAUUUUAAAACAAUAAACAAUGUUUUUAAUGUAACAUAUCACCGGGGGUUUUUUGAAGAAAUUAUUGCUCUACUUGUGGUCGAAAAUUGAAGGAAAUACGAUUUUUCACUUAAAUACUCGCCAAUUACAUAAAAAUCAAUAUUCUUGAAGCCUCCCCCGAACUUCUUUCGUUUUAGAUUUUUGUUUUCUCUCACGCUCAUAUUUCCUCAAGUUACAUUGCUUGCCGCAGCGCUCUUGAUAUUGCAGAUUGCUCGCAAAACAAUCUUUUUUCUUUUAAUACUUAAAUAUUUGUUUAAUAAUCCCCGCGAAUAUUAUUAUCCCUGUCUUGUUUUCUUCGAUCUGAAGAGUGGUGCAGAGUGGCGAACUGUUUUAUAGCUCCCCGCUUUUAUCUUAAGCAAUGCAAAUGAAAUUUCACUAAUAUGUAAUAUUGAAUGUUUGUGGCCUCGUGUGCUGAACCUUAUGAGUAAUGAGCAGUCAAUAUCAAAUUUUUAGCUUUUGAGAAUGUAGAUGUCCUCAGUUCAUGUUGUCCUGCGGGAAUGUUCUUUAAUCGAUUUGAUCUAUUUUCCUUAUCAAAUACUAACAAGACACAGAACACUGUUUUUACUGAGUUUGAAAAUAAAUUCUUGUUUUUUGCGGUCGGCAGAAGGAUCAUUACAGCCUGUUCAAAAGACAGAAGCCCAUGGACAGAUUUGCGUAAAUCAAACCAGAAUUUGACACACACAUCAUGAAUAUAUAUACACAUUCGGUGAUGGGUAUAGAAAUCGGAAAAGCAAUUCAAAACUAUUUUGAGGAAAAGGUUAUUAAAAAUGUUCUCUUCAAUUUUGAGUUAAGUGGUACGAAGGGCUCCAUCCUUGAAUAAUUGAAGGUAGGUAAGAAUCGCAAUUACCAAGUCAGUGUUCGCGUAUUCAAAUCCCAGUCCGGUAGAGCAUUGAUAAGUGCUCAGUCAAAAUGAGUGUACAUAUGAGCAUACGAUCCGUGCUGAGCUUCUUAAUAAACAUAUUUUUAUAUUUAAUUCCGUGUAGUAGUUCUUUUGCACAAUGUUUCAUAUCAACUUGGAAACCUAGAGCGAUUUUUCCAAAAAUAUAUUCCUACAUCAAAUAAAAAUUUGCAACUAUGUAUUUGCGAAUAUGCUUACAUAAGUAGUGCAUACUUGAAGAGGUCAAAAGCAAUAGUACUUAAACAAUUGGAAAGGUACGGGCCGAUAUCUGUUUGGUAUUCCGCUUACUUGCUCAAUACAAUUUUAUUUACCUAUUUAUUAUAUAAAAACACUUUUUCAUUUCCUUUCAUUUCUUUUGCACUUAGCCCUUAUGCUUUAGUAUGUGUAUCGUACUAUCUGCGAUCUAUUUCUUUUAAUUCUCUAUUGAAUAAUUAAUAAAUUACAUUUGGAUGCAAGAAUUGUUUAAGUUUAGAUUGUGUCUAAGUAUCGAGUGAACGGACAGACUGUUAUUUUUUACUUAAGUAAAUAAUAAAA